AUCUUUGCGCUUGGGGCAAUGACACAGUUAGCGAGGUGAAACCGAGACGCGUCAAUUGCUGGUUGAAAACUAUUUCCAAACUAUUUCCAUUUCUAGUCUGGUGUGAAUUGCCGUACGCAAUAAUUAUUU
rnacentral:snRNA from 1 species